rnacentral:rRNA from 1 species
GCAAGUCGAGCGGUAACAGGAAUAGCUUGCUAUUUGCUGACGAGCGGCGGACGGGUGAGUAACGCGUAGGAAUCUGCAUAGUAGAGGGGGACAACAUGUGGAAACGCAUGCUAAUACCGCAUAAUCCCUAAGGGGGAAAGGAGGGGACUUUUCGGAGCCUUCCGCUAUUAGAUGAGCCUGCGUGAGAUUAGCUAGUUGGUAGGGUAAAGGCUUACCAAGGCGACGAUCUAUAGCUGUUCUGAGAGGAAGAUC